rnacentral:ncRNA from 1 species
GCAGAGUAGGCGUUUGCGUGUAUAGUGUCCGUCAACGGGGAGUUGUGGCGGAACGAAGUGCCUUGCCGCAGGGCAGGCCGCAGUGCAAAUGCCGCAUCCCGCUGC